rnacentral:tRNA from 1 species
GGCCCGGUCGUCAAGUGGUUUAAGACACCGCCCUUUCACGGCGGGUUCAUGGGUUCGAAUCCCGUCCGGGUCA